rnacentral:rRNA from 1 species
GAAGCGAAAGUAAAAUUUCGUGGAGGUCCGAACCCACGAGCGUUGAAAAGCUCGGGGAUGACUUGUGGGUAGCGGUGAAAUUCCAAUCGAGCCCGGAGAUAGCUGGUUCUCCCCGAAAUAGCUUUAGGGCUAGCCUCAAGGUGAGAGAUACGGAGGUAGAGCACUGAAUGUCCUAGGGGGUAUUGCACCUACCGAAGACUAUCAAACUCCGAAUGCCGUCAUCUUAUACUUGGGAGUCAGACUGUGGGUGAUAAGAUUCAUAGUCGAAAGGGCAACAGCCCAGAUCGUCAGCUAAGGUCCCUAAAUGUAAGUUAAGUGGUAAAGGAUGUGGGAUUGCACAGACAACCAGGAUGUUGGCUUAGAAGCAGCCACUCAUUCAAAGAGUGCGUAAUAGCUCACUGGUCGAGUGAUCCUGCGCCGAAGAUUUCCGGGGCUAAAACUUACUACCGAAGCUACGGCAUCAGUAAUGAUGGGUAGGGGAGCUUCCCAUACGGGUUGAAGCAUGACCGUAAGGACAUGUGGACAGUAUGGGAGUGAGAAUGUUGGCAUGAGUAGCGAGAUGUGGGUGAGAA